AGCGAACGCUGGCGGCGUGCUUAACACAUGCAAGUCGAGUGCGCGUUUCGUAGCAAUACGGGAUGGCGCACGGCGCACGGGUGAGGAACACGUGGGCAACAUGCCCUCUGAUGGGGAAUAACCCGCGAAAGCGGGGCUAAUACCGCAUAAGAUUCCGGGGACCUCGGUCCCUGGACUGAAAGCCGCAAGGGCGUCGGAGGAGUGGCCCGCGGCCGAUUAGCUUGUUGGCGGGGUAACGGCCACCAAGGCAAUGAUCGGUAGCCGGUCUGAGAGGAUGAUCGGCCACACUGGAACUGAGACACGGUCCAGACUCCUACGGGAGGCAGCAGUGGGGAAUCUUGCGCAAUGGGCGAAAGCCUGACGCAGCGACGCCGCGUGGGG
rnacentral:rRNA from 1 species